CAGCCGCCGGGGAAUACGAAGGGGGCUAGCGUUGUUCGGAAUUACUGGGCGUAAAGCGCACGUAGGCGGAUAUUUAAGUCAGGGGUGAAAUCCCAGAGCUCAACUCUGGAACUGCCUUUGAUACUGGGUAUCUUGAGUAUGGAAGAGGUGAGUGGAAUUCCGAGUGUAGAGGUGAAAUUCGUAGAUAUUCGCAGGAACACCAGUGGCGAAGGCGGCUGACUGGUCCAUAACUGACGCUGAGGUGCGAAAGCGUGGGGAGCAAACAGGAUUAGAUACCCCCGUAGUCCCUGUCUCUUAUACA
rnacentral:rRNA from 1 species